rnacentral:rRNA from 1 species
GAAGUGUGGACGCCAGUCUGCAUGGAGCCGACCUUGAAAUACCACCCUUUAAUGUUUGAUGUUCUAACGUUGACCCGUGAUCCGGGUUGCGGACAGUGUCUGGUGGGUAGUUUGACUGGGGCGGUCUCCUCCUAAAGAGUAACGGAGGAGCACGAAGGUUGGCUAAUCCUGGUCGGACAUCAGGAGGUUAGUGCAAUGGCAUAAGCCAGCUUGACUGCGAGCGUGACGGCGCGAGCAGGUGCGAAAGCAGGUCAUAGUGAUCCGGUGGUUCUGAAUGGAAGGGCCAUCGCUCAACGGAUAAAAGGUACUCCGGGGAUAACAGGCUGAUACCGCCCAAGAGUUCAUAUCGACGGCGGUGUUUGGCACCUCGAUGUCGGCUCAUCACAUCCUGGGGCUGAAGUAGGUCCCAAGGGUAUGGCUGUUCGCCAUUUAAAGUGGUACGCGAGCUGGGUUUAGAACGUCGUGAGACAGUUCGGUCCCUAUCUGCCGUGGGCGCUGGAGAACUGAGGGGGGCUGCUCCUAGUACGAGAGGACCGGAGUGGACGCAUCACUGGUGUUCGGGUUGUCAUGCCAAUGGCACUGCCCGGUAGCUAAAUGCGGAAGAGAUAAGUGCUGAAAGCAUCUAAGCACGAAACUUGCCCCGAGAUGAGUUCUCCCUGACUCCUUGAGAGUCCUGAAGGAACGUUGAAGACGACGACGUUGAUAGGCCGGGUGUGUAAGCGCAGCGAUGCGUUGAGCUAACCGGUACUAAUGAACCGUGAGGCUUAACCUUACAACGCCGAAGCUGUU